CAGUUCUUUCUUUAAAGUCCACCGAGAUGGGAAAAUUUCUAAUUUGCUUCCUGUUGAUAUUUUUCCUGGCUUACAUUUACGCUGCUUCCGAGUGGCCUAGAUUCUUUGCAUAUCCCUGCCAAGAGGGUUUGUGCGUGCCAACGGACCGAUAUAAAUGUCCCUGUUGGCAUUUCCAACAUAGUUGUAAGCCCCAGAAGACGUCGUGUUGCGAGGACCCAAACUUUUUUCCAAUGCCCGGAAAUAUGAAAAGCUUUACUUGUAAAAAUCAAACCAAAAAAGGGUAAAGGUAAAGUUAAAGGUAAAAAAAACUAGAAACACUGGUUGAAUAAAAUAAAGUAGCACUUAACCGCCCACAACAUCACAGCUACAAA